ACGUGAUUACCCGCUGAACUUAAGCAUAUCACUAAGCGGAGGAAAAGAAACUAACCAGGAUUCCCUUAGUAACGGCGAGUGAACAGGGAAAAGCCCAGCACCGAAGCCUGUGGUCGUUUGGCCCCUAGGCAAUGUGGUGUUCAGGUUAGCUCGCGAAGAUGCUGCUCCACCCUAAGUCCUAUAAUGAGUAAGGUUACUCGGACAUGGCCCAAUGAGGGUGAAAGGCCCGUGGGGGUGGAGAUUCAGAAUGGCCAGUAUCUUCCUGAGCAGACCUUGGAGUCGGGUUGUUUGUGAAUGCAGCCCAAAGCGGGUGGUAAACUCCAUCCAAGGCUAAAUACUAGCACGAGUCCGAUAGCGAACAAGUACCGUGAGGGAAAGUUGAAAAGUACUUUGAAGAGAGAGUAAACAGUGCGUGAAACCGUUCAGAGGUAAACAGGUGGAGUUGAACUGCAAGCUCUGAGGAUUCAGCUGGUGAGUAUGGCAUGAGCUUGGUCAUAUUGGUUGUGUGCUCGGGUCUGCUUAGCUGCAGGUCUCCGCUUCGGUGGGGAUGCGCGAAUCACUCAUCAGGUGUUGUGCGCCCGGGUACUGACGGACCUGCUUGCCAGUGCACUUU
rnacentral:rRNA from 1 species